rnacentral:lncRNA from 10 species
CCCGGGUUUGCGCGUGUGGAAAGCAAAAGGGGUUACUCUGCUGGAGUUCGACAUUGCAAAUAAAGAUAAUGUCUGUGCCUAUCAGAUAAAGGCAAACCAGUGCUCAGAGGAACCCAACCAUCUCUGAAUUGAGACCAGAGAGCUGUCUCUAUGGAUAGUCCUUAGAGAAGGCAUUUCGGAACACAGUAAACAGCAGCCUGGUGACUCCGAUUACAGGGCCAGUUGCCUUUGUUACAAUAAAAGCAAGUCAUCUACACAGGCUGGAGUGUAGUGCCAUGAUCU